rnacentral:rRNA from 1 species
UACAGAGGGUGCAAGCGUUGCUCGGAAUUAUUGGGCGUAAAGGGCAGGUAGGUGGUCUCGUUUGUCCGAGGUGAAAGCCCCGAGCUUAAUUUGGGAAGUGCCUCGGAAACGGCGAGACUAGAGUCUUGGAGAGGGUCGCGGAAUACCCGGUGUAGCGGUGAAAUGCGUAGAGAUCGGGUGGAAUACCAGAGGCGAAGGCGGCGACCUGGACAAGAGCUGACACUCAACUGCGAAAGCGUGGGGAGCAAACAGG